UACGUAGGGGGCUAGCGUUGUUCGGAUUUACUGGGCGUAAAGCGCACGUAGGCGGAUCGAUCAGUCAGGGGUGAAAUCCCAGAGCUCAACUCUGGAACUGCCUUUGAUACUGUCGAUCUGGAGUAUGGAAGAGGUGAGUGGAAUUCCGAGUGUAGAGGUGAAAUUCGUAGAUAUUCGGAGGAACACCAGUGGCGAAGGCGGCUCACUGGUCCAUUACUGACGCUGAGGAGCGAAAGCCAGGGGAGCAAACGGG
rnacentral:rRNA from 1 species